GGGCCUGUAGCUCAAUCUGGUAGAGCGCCCGCCUUGCACGCGGGAGGCUGUGGGUUCGAAUCCCGCCGGGUCCA
rnacentral:tRNA from 1 species